rnacentral:rRNA from 1 species
GACGAACGCCGGCGGCGUGCUUAACACAUGCAAGUCGAGCGGUAAGGCCCUUUCGGGGGUACGACGAGCGGCGAACGGGUAGGAGUAACACGUGGGUGGACCUCGCCCUCCAGCUCUGGGAGUAAGCCUCGGGAAACCGGGGUACCGUAAUACUGGAUAUGACUCCAUGACGCAUGUUGUGGGGUGGAAAGCCUUGUGCGGCUGAGGAUGGGCCCGGCGGCCUAUCAGCUUGUUGGUGGGGUGAUGGCCUACCAAGGCGACGACGGGUAGCCGGCCUGAGAGGGCGACCGGCCACACUGGGACUGAGACACGGCCCAGACUCCUACGGGAGGCAGCAGUGGGGAAUCUUGCGCAAUGGGCGAGAGCCUGACGCAGCGACGCCGCGUGAGGGAUGACGGCCU